GAUGAACGCUGGCUACAGGCUUAACACAUGCAAGUCGAGGGGAAACGACGGGGAAGCUUGCUUCCCCGGGCGUCGACCGGCGCACGGGUGAGUAACGCGUACCCAACCUGCCUCUGACUGAGGGAUAACCCGUCGAAAGUCGGCCUAAUACCUCAUGGUAUCGUCUGCGGGCAUCCAACGACGAUUAAAGAUUUCAUCGGUCAGGGAUGGGGAUGCGUCUGAUUAGCUUGUUGGCGGGGUAACGGCCCACCAAGGCUACGAUCAGUAGGGGUUCUGAGAGGAAGGUCCCCCACACUGGAACUGAGACACGGUCCAAACUCCUACGGGAGGCAGCAGUGAGGAAUAUUGGUCAAUGGGCGAGAGCCUGAACCAGCCAAGUAGCGUGCAGGAAGACGGCCCUAUGGGUUGUAAACUGCUUUUAGGCGGGGAUAAAGUGAGGGACGUGUCCCUCAUUGCAGGUACCGCAUGAAUAAGGACCGGCUAAUUCCGUG
rnacentral:rRNA from 1 species